CGCACGGGUGAGUAACACGUAUCCAACCUGCCGUCUACUCUUGGACAGCCUUCUGAAAGGAAGAUUAAUACAAGAUGGCAUCAUGAGUCCGCAUGUUCACAUGAUUAAAGGUAUUCCGGUAGACGAUGGGGAUGUGUUCCAUUAGAUAGUAGGCGGGGUAACGGCCCACCUAGUCUUCGAUGGAUAGGGGUUCUGAGAGGAAGGUCCCCCACAUUGGAACUGAGACACGGUCCAA
rnacentral:rRNA from 1 species